UUUGGGAUUUCAUUUCGUUGCGGAAAAGGUCGCAAAGAUAUGGCGACUCGCAAUGAGUCGCCCAAUCCCAACUCCACCGAAGCGUGGACCGUCGUCUCCCGCCGCCGUCGCCGCUCUCUCAAGCAGCAGCAACCGAAGCGCUCCGUUCUCCCCGGACCCGAAACCCUAAUCGCGCCUCCGUCCCCAUGGAUUCCGAUCGAUUCCUUCGUCGACCUUGAGCGUCGAUCCAAGCUGCUCCAAAGGAUGGAAUCCGCGAUCCGGAGGCUCGAGUGUUCCUCGUUCUACCGGAGGUUCCUCCUCCGUCUGCGCGGCCAUCUGGUCCAGCACGGUCUGGCCAGGGCGUUGUCCUCCGCCUUGGAGAUUCGUAUGGUGGUCUACGGCGUCGGGAGCAUUGAAUCCUACGACCCCUCCCGCCUCCAGCUUGCCCUCGCCAUCCUCCUCCGUCGGGACCUCGGCCUCGCAGUGCCGUAUCUUGAAGUGUUUGACCCAAUCCUUUCCGCCACGGAGUGUGCCGUAAUGACGGCGUUCGAUUGCGCCUUGGUGCCAGUGGAUGAGAGGGGGCGGAGAGAGGUGAGAGCCCCGACGCUGUUCUACAUGCCGCACUGUGAGGCGGCACUUUACGACGGGCUAUUGGAGGCCAAUUGGAGGCCGUCGAGCCUGAACCGGAUGGUGGUGCUUGGAAAUAGCUUUUCGGCGUAUGAGCAGUUCGUGGAGUUAGGGAGUUGCUCUGGGUCCGCAUCCGUGGAGGCGGCCGUGAAGCAUCUUCUAUUGGUGAGAAGGCAUGUGACGGAAGUGGAGAUGGAGGAGGAGGAGGCUGGAGCAGGAUCGCAGGGGAAGCAGGACGACGAAGAUGGGAUUUUCAAGGCCUUUCAUGAUACAAGUUGGCAUUUUUUCGACUUGGACGAUGAUAAGCCGAUGGAUCUCGUGAAGAGAUGAGUUUAUGUUACUUUUGCCCCUUCAACCUUUUGCUACCAUGUUGUGCUUUGUCACACCAUUGCUUGAAAAUCCAGCCAAUGGGAGAUGUUUCACUCAAAGCAUAAGCCAUUUCUUGCCAUGAGGGCAGCAUAUAUCCUUCGAAAACUAUACUGUUCAAGGGGAAUUCUACAUUAUGUCCGCUAUUCUCUGUUAUUUCAAGGUUAAAUUGAUGCAUGAUGACUAAAACCUGGAUUCCAUAAUACUUAGAUGCUCUCUGCAGGAAAGAGACAUGCAAUUUGAAUCUUUUUUUUAUUAUUGGUCAAUUUGAUGGGGAUAAGAAUUCACCAUUUAGCAUCUCAAUUAGGAUUACUUCAAUACCUUCUUUAUGCUUAAUUAUAAUACUCAUUACUUUCAAAAUCAUAUUCAUUUCAAAAGAUUUUAGCUUUUA